rnacentral:rRNA from 1 species
AGUGAACGCUGGCGGUAGGCCUAACACAUGCAAGUCGAACGGCAGCACAGUAAGAGCUUGCUCUUACGGGAGGCGAGUGGCGGACGGGUGAGGAAUACAUCGGAAUCUACUUUUUCGUGGGGGAUAACGUAGGGAAACUUACGCUAAUACCGCAUACGACCUCCGGGUGAAAGCAGGGGAUCUUCGGACCUUGCGCGAUUGAAUGAGCCGAUGUCGGAUUAGCUAGUUGGCGGGGUAAAGGCCCACCAAGGCGACGAUCCGUAGCUGGUCUGAGAGGAUGAUCAGCCACACUGGAACUGAGACACGGUCCAGACUCCUACGGGAGGCAGCAGUGGGGAAUAUUGGACAAUGGGCGCAAGCCUGAUCCAGCCAUACCGCGUGAGUGAAGAAGGCCUUCGGGUUGUAAAGCCCUUUUGUUGGGAAAGAAAAGCAGCAGGUUAAUACCCCGCUGUUCUGACGGUACCCAAAGAAUAAGCACCGGCUAACUUCGUG